rnacentral:rRNA from 1 species
UACGUAGGGUGCGAGCGUUGUCCGGAAUUAUUGGGCGUAAAGGGCUCGUAGGCGGCCGACCAAGUCGGGUGUGAAAUCCCUCGGCUCAACCGAGGAACUGCACUCGAUACUGGUUGGCUAGAGUCCGGGAGGGGAUGGUGGAAUUCCCAGUGUAGCGGUGAAAUGCGUAGAUAUUGGGAAGAACACCGGUGGCGAAGGCGGCCAUCUGGACCGGAACUGACGCUGAGGCGCGAAAGCCAGGGGAGCGAAUGGG